ACCGACACGGAUGUCGGUGGUUCUAAGCAGAAGCGCGUUUUGCUGAGCAAAACGUGCUAUCAAACCUGUACAAGGAUGUACAGGUUUGAUAAACG
rfam:Treponema sp. OMZ 838, complete genome.